ACAUGACAUAGAAAACAUAACCUUCAAACCUUUAUUGAAAUUACAACCUUAUAAGAAGGUACUUAAAACACAUUUGUUUUAAACAUUAUUUCUUUUCCCCGGUUCGUGCACUUAUGGGCUGACAUGGAUUCAUGGACAACCCAUGAGGAAACUCAACUACACAAAUGGUUUCCUAAUAACAAAGUUCUAUAUAUUCCCAACACUCAUUUUUCCUUUAAUCUCCAACACUCUUUCCCAUGACAACAUGUAAUAUAAUUUCAAAAUAGAAUCAUAUAUUUUCCAAUAUAAACAUGUCAUAAUCAAUUCAAAAGUUCAAUAUCAUCCAACAUUUAAAUAAAUUCAUAUCUAAUAAUUCAAUGUCAAACAAAUCAAUAUCAAUCAACCCAAUACCAAAUAAUCCGAUAUCACAAAUACAUCCAAUAUCACCAACAAUUCAAUAUCAAACAAACCAUGUAAUAGCAUAAAUAACAACAACACAAACACCCCAUCAAACCCUACCUUGAUUGCAUAGCAAAAACUUGAGCUCCAACGCCACUUCUCACACUUGUGGAUUGCCAAGAUCUUCUUCGGAACCUUAGAAAAACGAAUUGAAAAAGUUUCUCUCUCACUCCACAACUCUCCCAAAAUCUGUUCUCUCUAGAAACUCUGUAUUAGUUUUGUCCAAGGUUUUAGCCGACUCUCCCAAUCCAUUCUAAUCUACUACAGCCUAGACUCCUAGACCUCCAGCUAGCCCCUACUCCUAUAAGCUUAGGCUUGUACUCUUGAGACACCUCCUGCUUGCUAAGAUGGUGGAGCUAAGAUGGUGGAGCAAAGAAUAGCAAAAAGAAAAGGAAGAGAGAGCCUGCAGUGUAAUGCAGUCCUCUUUUUUUUUUUUUUUAAAACAAAACAUUUUAAAUACCACACAAAACUUUAAUUAAAACAAAAUAUAAGUAAGGAUGCUACAAACUACCCUCCUAAAUAGAAUUUUGUCCCGAAAUUCAAACUUACCCGAAGUAGAGAAAAGUUCUGGAUACUUGUUAUGCAUUUCAGUUUCCAACUCCCACGUUUCCUCUUGAACGUUCCCACUUUGCCAAAGAAUUCUGACCAAAGGAAUAGUUUUGGUACGUAGAACUUGUUCCUUACGAUCUAAAAUCUGAAUUGGCAUUGUUUCAUAAGACAACUGCUCAUCUACUUUGAAUUCUCCCCAAUCAAUGAGAUGGCUAGGAUCUGGUUGAUACUUUCGCAACAUUGAAACGUGGAAAACAUUGUGGACAUUUGAUAGCUGUGGUGGCAAUGCUACCUUAUAAGCAACUUCUCCAAUUCUUUCUAGAAUUUCAAAAGGUCCAACAAAACGUGGAGCUAAUUUCCCUAACUUCCCAAAUCUCUGAAUUCCCUUAUGUGGUGACACCUUUAAGAAAACAAAAUCACCAACCAUGAACUCUAAAGGUCUAUUCCUUUGAUCCGCAUAAUUUCUUUGUCGAAUCUAAGCAGUGAGUAGAUGUUGCUUGAUAAGCCUAAUCUUUUCAGUGGUUUCCUGCACAUAGUCAGGUCCAAGUAAGAUUUUAUCACCCACUUCUGUCCAACACAUUGGUGAUCUACAAGGUCUCCCAUAAAGAGCUUCAUACGAUGCCAUUUUGAUGCUGGACUGAAAACUAUUAUUGUAUGCAAACUUUGCCAAUGACAAGUAAUCUUCCCAACUUCCAUGAGAGUCUAGCACACAUGCCCUUAACAUAUCUUCCAAUAUUUGAAUAGUUCGCUCUGACUGUCCGUCAGUCUGUGGAUGAAAUGCACUACUGAAAUUCAACUUUGUUCCCAAAGCACGUUGUAGACUUUCCCACAAUUUAGAAGUAAACUCUGAAUCCCUAUUAGACACAAUAGACAGAGGAACUCCAUGGAGUUUAACUAUUUCCUGAACAUAUAAUUUUCCAAGAGUUUCUAUUGAGUCUGUUGUCUUGACUGGGAGAAAAUGUGCAGACUUCGUUAAGCGAUCGACAAUGACCCACACAAAAUCCUUUCCUUUAGGCGAACGAGGUAAUCCGAUCACAAAAUCUAUAGUUUUGUGAUCCCAUUUCCAUUCAGCUAUAGGAUGCGGUUGAAGUUUUCCUUCGGGUUUACAAUGCUCAACUUUCACUUGCUGACAAGUCAGACACUGCAACACAAAAGUCGCUAUGUCCCUUUUUAUAGUACCCCACCAGAAUUGACGACGAAGAUUAUGAUAUAACUUUGUCCCACCUGGAUGGAUAGUAUACAACGAGUAAUGUGCCUAACGAAGGACUUCAUUUCUCAUAUCUGAGAUUUUUGGAACAUAUAGUCUUCCCCAAUAUCUUAAUCCACUAUCACCUUGGAAGGUCCAUCCUUGUAAUUUCUCUCCCUUCCUCAUUUUCUCUAACAGUUCUUUAGAAGUCUUAUCCUCUUGUUGUUUCUCAAUAAUUUUCCCCAUCAAAGUAGGUUGUGACACCAUGUUGCAAAGAUACGCACCACUCUUGUGCUUUCUGACAUACAAUUGAUAUUCACAAAUGGAUUCUACCAUUUUCCAUUUUUGGAGUUGCAUACUUGCAGAACAACCAUCUGCCUUUCUACUCAAAGCAUCUGCUACUACGUUUGCUUUUCCAAGAUGAUAAUUCAAUCCAAAGUCAUAAUCCUCUAGAUACUUCAUCCAACGGCGUUUGGAGUUCCUUCUGAAUAAAAAGAUAUUUCAAGCUUUUAUGAUUAGAGUAGAGCUCGAACCAUUCACCAUACAAAUAAUGUCUCUAGGUCUUCAAAGCAUGGACCAUUGUUGCUAAUUCCAAGUCAUGAGUUGGAUAAUUCCUUUCAUGCGAUUUCAACUGACGAUAAGCGUAAGCCACGACAUUCUUGAGCUGCAUUAGUACACAUCCUAACCCACGCAGUGAUGCGUCAGUGUAGAUUGUAUAUCUGAUGCCUUGCUCAGGAAUUAUUAAAAUCGGGGCCGUAGUUAACCGAACCUUCAGUUCUUGAAAUGACUCUUCACAUUCAGUUGUCCAUAUAAAUGGAACUCCCUUUCGUGUCAACUGAGUCAUUGAUAUAGCUAUUCGGGAAAAGUCCUUUAUAAAUCUCCUGUAGUAACCCACCAAACCCAAAAAGCUACGUAUGUCAGCCACGGUCUUAGGUUGACUCCAAUUCACCACUGCUUCAACCUUUGAAGAGUCUACAACUAUGCCUUUUUUCGAAAUCACAUGGCCAAGAAACUUCACUUCACUUAGCCAAAAUUCACAUUUGCUCAACUUAGCAAAAAGUUGAUGUUCUCUCAAUGUCUCCAAAACAAUGGAAAAGUGUUGCUCAUGCUCUGCCUUUGAUUUGGAGUAAAUGAGAAUAUCAUCAAUGAACACGAUCACAAACUGGUCCAAAUAUGGUCCUAAAACACGAUUCAUCAAGUCCAUAUAUAAACGCUGCCGGCACAUUCGUCAAACCAAAAGGCAUAACAAGGAACUCAUAAUGCCCAUACCAAGAUUUGAAUACCGUUUUCUAAAUAUCCUCCUCCUUGACUCGUAAUUGAUGAUAACUAGACCGUAGAUCCAUCUUCGAAAGGAAUUCACAGCCUCUUAAUUGAUCGAAGAGAUCAUCAAUCCUCAGAAGUGGAUACUUGUUCUUCACAAUAACCCUAUUCAAUUGUCAAUAAUCAACACACAUACGAAGUGAUCCAUCUUUCUUUUUCACAAACAAAGCCGGCGCACCCCAGGGUGACAUACUAGGACGAAUAAAUCCUUUACUUCAUAGUUCAUCAAUUUGAGCUCUAAGUUCUGUUAACUCCUUUGGGGCCAUACGAUAAGGAGGUAUGGAAAUUGGUGUCGUACCAGGGGAAACUUCAAUAGCAAAUUCCACCUGACGCUCUGGAGGUAACUUGAACAAAUUCGCUGGAAAGACAUCUCUGAACUGAUUCAUAACCGGGAUUGACUCAAUGUCUAUGUCAUUUGUUUCUGCCAAAGCCAAAUUGGCAAUCAUCAUUGAGUAAUUAAUAUCUUUCCUACCAUAGGCCAACUGAGGAUUUGUUAGUCCAUUAUCCCCAAUAAAAGUAAUAACUUCCCCUUCCUUUGUGGUUAACGUCACUGUCUUCUUCUCACAAUCAAAUAUAGCCUUGUAAUGAGAAAGCCAAUCUAUCCCCAAGAUAAUAUCAUACUCUUAUAAGUCCAUUAUCAUCAAGUCGAAGAAAAGUCGUCGACUAGAAAUUUCUACCAUACAGGAUCUAGACACCUUAGUAACUCUCAUACUACUACCCAUAGGAGAUCUUAUUUUUAAAGAACGCUGUAAAAACUCGUACUCUAAUCCCAAAGCACACGCAAAAGAAGUGGAUAUAAAAUAAUGUGAAGCACCAAGAUCAAACAAAAUUCUACCCCAAGUAUUAAAAAUUGGGAGUGUACCUUCCACAAGAGUAUGAUCAUAUGGAUCCUCCAUGUUACUCAGACUUCCCAUCUCCCUUUGUUCUUCACCUUGGAAUUGGUCGACUACUUUAGUUUCAUUGGUAGCCUCAACUUCAUCCUCACCAUAACCCAUAGCAUAAACUCGACCUUGAGCUACACGAUUCUGCCUUUUAGCUCCAACUUGAGGUCUAGAUGCAGCUGGUUGACUAGUAGGACGAGGUGCAGGUGGUCUAACUUGUGGUCUAGCCCAAUUAUGUUGUGUUGGGACAGGAGCACGAUAGGGUUGUUGUGGGGCAUAUAAUUAGGGUUAGGCAGUAAGGUAUUGAGUGUUUGGUGCAUGAUAUUGUUGUUAUGGGGCCCGAGGCGCCUGAUAUGUAGGUAACCCUGCACAAUCCUUUGCAUAAUGCCCUUGUUGACCACAAUGAUAACAAAUCAGAGGUCGUGAAGGUCGAUUAUUAGACGGGUAGCGAGGAAGGUUAGGUCGUGGACAUUUGUUACUUGGUCCAACUCCACCUUUUCCAACUUCCCAAAAGGUUUUUGAUUCUUGCAUCAUCUGUUCAGCCAUAAGAGCGCGUUCCACUACAUCAAUGUACCUAUCAAGCUUGAGCAUUACUACUUUCUCUUUGAUCAGUGGUUUCAGACCUUCUUCAAAGCGCCUUGCUUUAGCAUAAUCAUCCGGCACAAGCUCAGGUGCAAAACGCAUCAGUUCUUCAAACUUAGCCUAAUAUUCUCCCACAAGCAUAUUCAUUUGAAGAAGAGAAGCGAACUCCUUAGAUUUUAGAUGACGUUGAGUGGAAGGAAAAUAUUUAUCGAGAAAGACUCUCUCGAAUUCAACCCAUGUCGUAAUCACAGUAUUUGGAAUACAAAGUAUGGAUUCCCACCAACGAUAUGCCGGACCUUCCAGAUAGGUACAAGCAACAGUCACUUGCAAAUCUUCAGGAAUUCUCGUCAGACUUCUUUUCAUCUGACGUACCCCUUUUUUAGCAAUCAUUGGGUCCGUGCUCCCUUUGAACACUGGCGGCUUUGACUUGCGAAACUCACCUUGAAUCCUUAAAACUCUAUCUUCAGCAUUCUCAAUCUGAUUUCCUAUAUAAUUCUCCCUAAUUGCACUAGCCAUCUCUUGAAUGGCCACAAUUACUCCAGAGUUGUUACCAAACUCCACAUUACUUUGGCUCUCAGCUUUCGUUAUCUUGAAUUUAAAAGAAAACGAAAGAACUAAGGCACAAUUCUACCCAGAAUCUUACAGCUAAAAGUUCAAAGUAUAAUCCUAAUAUAUCUCAACAGUAAAAUAAGUAUAAAAUAAAAUGAUAAACAAUAAACAAAAUUUCAAGAAACAAAACACAUAUAAUAUACAUCUUAUAUAUAUAGCCCUUCUCAGUUGCGGACGUCUGCACCAAUGGUUUUGGUGCAAAUUUUCAUUUUUGCACCACUUUUCGAUCGAAUUUCCGUAUCUUCACCGUCUACUAUCUAGAUAAUAUUGUGUAGAUCAUCUCUGCAAAAAUUUAGCCAAUUUGGUAAUCGUUAAGGCCCUCAAAAUUGCAUCUUUCUGUUAUAAACAUGAACGGUUCAUGUUUGAUAGAAUUCAGUCUGUCUAUUUGUUUUUCGAGUUUGAGGCCUUAACGAUUACCAAAUUGGCUGAAAUUUUGCAAAGAUGAUCUACACAAUAUUAUCUAGAUACUGGAUGGUGGAGAUGAGGAAAUUCGAUCGAAAAGUGGUGCAAAAAUGAAAAUCUGCACCAAAACCAUUGGUGCGGACAUCCGCAGCUGAGAAAAAUCUUAUAUAUAUAUAUCACAAAAGGGUUACAUAUUUAUAGUUACCGAACACAGAGUAACACAAGAGAUUAGCACUCCAAAAUUGUAACAUACAAAUCUAGAAUCAAAGGACCUAGACUUGUUGUUAUCACCAUUGUACAAUAGCCAGUUAGAAAACCUAAAUUCUACACGUCAUCAUUUGACAAAUCUAUAAUAGAGGUGUCAGAUGAGAGAUACGUAACCAAAUGCACCAAUCCGUCAUCAUCCUCAUCCAUUUGCUCCUCAUUGGCUGGUGCAGUUGGGACAAGAUUGGCUGAUGGAUCUAGGACAGGCUAAGGAGGUCCCGAAAUAGAUUCACUUGCCUCCAUAGGUUCAUAAUUAGGAUCUUCCUCAUUAACUUCUACAUCAUUGUUACCCAAAUCUACACCUGGUGAAGGCCAUUGGAUUCCACCAUGCAACACGACAUCUUUCUCCAAAUGGUGGUAAAAAUCAUCUGAUGCUUCCUGCAUUCUUUCACAUAAUGCAAUAUCCUAAUCGCGCAUUAUUCUAUGGCGCACCACCUGUCGUUGCAUUUGGGGAGUGUAAAACAUCCAUCGUUGCCCCACGUCUCUUAUACCGUUGUGGAGUCGUAGUGUCGUAGUAUGAUGAAUUCUUAAAUGAUAAUCAACAUUAUCAACAGGUUGAGGUCCGUUAGGUCCCACCUCAAAUUCUCCAUACAUAUCCUCGCUCUGGACCGGCUCCAUACCUAUAUAUCAAAAUGUAAGGAUAACUAAACCCAAUACAUAAAGAUGCAUAAAUAAUCAAAUCUUAAAAAUUCAACUUUCUAAUUCUCUUCGGGUCUUAACCUAAUGCUCUGAUACCAACUUGUCACAUCCCAACCCGAGUAAAGGUUUAACCUCAAGUUAAAGAAUGAAUCGCACUUUAAUUACAGACAAUUUAAUAUCCAUAAUUAAAAUAAGACCGAUAUCAUUACAUGACAUACAAAACAUAACCUUCAAACCUUUAUUGAAAUUACAACCUUAUAAGAAGGUACUAAAAACACACUUGUUUUAAACAUUACAAACAAGCAACAAACAAACAAGAAUAAUGUUUCUUUUCGAAACGUUUAUUCUUUAUUCAAACCUUAUUUACAAACGAAAACUUGAAAUUCUUAAUUUACAAUAUAUUCUACUUGCGGCCUCAAGGUCCACACCUGCAAUAAGUUUGAUUAAGGGGUGAGCUACGCUCAGUAGGGCUAAUUAAAUUGCUAAACACAUAUAACAUUAACUUCAAACAAAAGCAAACAAACAUGGCAUAACAUGAUUACAUAAAUGCAAUAUGAACUUGACUUUCACCACACCCCUCACUUCACCCUCGAAUAUAAUUUCUUCAUUUGUUAGUCGUCUUGUUAUACUCAUGGUCUCAAAAUCCGAAACCCGAUUAGAUCGCUUUAUCGAUGUCCGCCAUCGAAGGGUUCUGCAUUCCCCGGUUCGUGCACCUAUGGGCUGACAUGGAUUCAUGGACAACCCAUGAGGAAACUCAACUACACAAGUGGUUUCCUAAUAACAAAGUUCCAUAUAUUCCCAACACUCAUUCUUCCUUUAAUCUCCAACCUCACUCUUUCCCAUGACAACAUGUAAUAUAAUUUCAAAAUAGAAUCAUAUAUUUUCCAAUAUAAACAUGUCAUAAUCAAUUCAAAAGUUCAAUAUCAUCCAACAUUUAAAUAAAUUCAUAUCUAAUAAUUCAAUGUCAAACAAAUCAAUAUCAAUCAAUUCAAUACCAAAUAAUCCAAUAUCACAAAUACAUCCAAUAUCACCAACAAUUCAAUAUCAAACAAACCAUAUAAUAGCAUAAAUAACAACACCACAAACACCCCAUCAAACCCUACCUUGAUUGCACAGCAAAAACUCGAGCUCUAAUGCUACUUCUCACACUUGUGGAUUGCCAAGAUCAUCCCUGGAGCCUUAGAAAAACGAAUUGAAAAGGUUUCCUCUCUCACUCCACAACUCUCCCAAAAUCUGUCAUCUCCAGAAACUCUGUACCGGUUAGACUCCUAGACCUCUAGCUAGCCCAUACUCCUAUAAGCUUAGGCUUGUACUCUUAAGACACUUCCUGCUUGCUAAGAUGGUGGAGCAAAGAAUAGCAAAAAGAAAAGGAAGAGAGAGCCUGCAGUGUAAUGCAGUCCUUUUUUUUUUUUUUAACAAAACAUUUUAAAUACCACACAAAACUUUAAUUAAAACAAAAUAUAAGUAAGGAUGUUACAGUCUCGGGCCCCCUAUUAAUUGUGUUAGUUCUUGAGAAAUCCUUACAAAUUCAUUGUUCAUUUCAAAUUCUUAAACAUGAAAAUGAUAAACAAGAUGAAAAAUACAUAUAUGAAUAGUGUGUUUGGGUGAAAAGGAAAAUAUGUGAAAUAUAACAAAAUAGUUGUUCAUAUGCAUAACAAUUACAUCGUUUGACACUUUUACACUCUAAACUUGGAAAUUAUGAAUCUUUAAGGAUAAAAAAAGAAAUUAAUUGAUUAUUCAAAUUUUCUUGUAAAUUUUAUGUUUACUUUAAUAGUUUCCCUUAAUAAGUUCUCGAUCUUAAAAAUUCAAUUUGUUAUAAUUCACUUUAUAAGUUUCCAAAAAUAAGUUUUUGUUUUUAAUAUUUUAAUUUGGUUUAUAUUUCACAUUAUU
rnacentral:lncRNA from 1 species